CAAUAGCAGCGCCGGGCAGCUAAGUUGGUAUGGAAGAACUGCUGCGCCGCGGGAAAUCCUUCUCUAUACAAGUUCUCGGACGAGGUUUUUGAACAGAACUUUGCA